AGAAUCAACGCUGGCGGCGUGCCUCAGACAUGCAAGUCGAACGAUUAAAGCUCUCUUCGGAGAGUGUAUAGAGUGGCGCACGGGUGAGUAACACGUAAGUAAUCUACCUUUGAGUGGGGAAUAACAGUCGGAAACGGCUGCUAAUACCGCAUAAUGCAGCGGCAUCGCAAGAUGACAGUUGUUAAAGGAGCAAUCCGCUUAAAGAGGAGCUUGCGGCAGAUUAGCUAGUUGGUAAGGUAAUGGCUUACCAAGGCUACGAUCUGUAUCCGGUCUAAGAGGACGGUCGGACACACUGACACUGAAUAACGGGUCAGACUCCUACGGGAGCAGCAGUCGGGAAUUUGGGCAAGUGGG
rnacentral:rRNA from 1 species